UAUCUCGGCUCUUGCAUCGAUGAAGAACGUAGCGAAAUGCGAUACUUGGUGUGAAUUGCAGAAUCCCGUGAACCAUCGAGUCUUUGAACGCAAGUUGCGCCUGAAGCCAUUAGGUUGAAGGCACGUCUGCCUGGGCGUCACGCAUUGCAUCACCCACUCUCCCGUGCCUAAGCGGGCAUG
rnacentral:rRNA from 8 species